UACGUAGGGUGCGAGCGUUGUCCGGAAUUAUUGGGCGUAAAGAGCUCGUAGGCGGUUUGUUGCGUCGGCCGUGAAAACCUGCAGCUUAACUGUGGGCCUGCGGCCGAUACGGGCAGACUUGAGUUCGGUAGGGGAGACUGGAAUUCCCGGUGUAGUGGUGAAAUGCGUAGAUAUCGGGAGGAACACCAGUGGCGAAGGCGAUUUCCUGGCCUGUUCUUGACGCUGAGGCGCGAAAGCUAGGGUAGCAAACGGG
rnacentral:rRNA from 1 species